GGAUUGUGGCUCAGUGGUAGAGCACUCGCCUAGCAUGUGUGAGGCACUGGGUUCAAUUCUCAGCACCA
rnacentral:tRNA from 1 species